rnacentral:ncRNA from 1 species
GACGGGCGCACCCUUAUAAGGUGCGCCCGUUUUCGUUCGAGGUAACGGGAAGCAGGUGAAAGACCUGCGCUGCCCCCGCAACGGUAACCGACCGCAGGCCACGGCCUGCCGCGCUCCGAUCCGCCACUGUGCGACACGCAUGGGAAGGCCGCGAGCGUGCGUGUCGGCAGCCCGGAGACCGCCCUCGACGCGAUCCGACUG